CUAGCCCUAGGUUUCUACUUCCGCCGGGGCCUCUCCACCUUUUGCUGUCUUGAGUCUAACUGAAAAGUUUCACGGAAGAAUUACCAGUCAGAAUACUGUCUACCAAAGUUAUUAAGAGGGAGAACUGGUGGGCGGUCCUUCCUGUGACACGACCCUUGAGUGACAGUUCUAUUUGAUUGCCUCCAGUACUGUGAGGAAAGGACACGACUCUAUGGUGAGGACUGAUGGACAUACAUUAUCUGAGAAAAGAAACUA